UUCUUUCCAUUUAUUCAUAUAUUCGGAUCAACAUAUUCAUUAAACCAUGGGAAAUUAAAGGCUACUAACUGUUUUAAUAGUCGUGCUGUAAUAAAGAAUGACACAUGUUUUUGCUGCUAUCUAUUUCUUUCUGUUCGUUGUACUCUUUAACUUCUUUAUCUGCACGCUCUGGCUCACUGUCAGGUAAGUUGCGUAUUAUUUGACUAUAAAAUCAUUCCAUUAAAUUAAAAAAUAAUAUUAAUCAAUGUUCAUUACUAUAUACACCUCUUUAUCAAAUAAAAUUGGUCCUCGAAUUUAACAUAACGAUAUACAUCUUUUCCACUGUAACCUUGACAUGUAUAAAACACAGAGAGUUAUGCACAUAAUAGAAACUAAUGGAGAAAGAAAUUAACAAUAUAAAGCAAUUAUUUCUCAAAACUCAUCAAGGGAUUUAAAAUAAGGACGACUUUGUCAUUAACCUUCGUAGCAAUUACUUAAACUAUGAGCAUGCUAAUAAGCAUAGGCUUCAUUAGAUAACAUUUAUAAGAAAAAAUAGUGUAUAUUCAAUUUUAGCAAUAAUAAUAAUAAUAAUGUUCAAACUUCAAAGCAACAACAGUUCAUAUAUAAUCCGUUCAUCUCAGUCCAAUACAAAAACAUUCAUUUGGAUUCAAUUUUCUGACACUUUCUAUUUUUCAAAAGGAGUAAGUAAUUCAUAUACUGUCGUACAAACAUCAUGAAUAAUAUUUCUCUUUAACUUUAUUAAACUAUUAAAAACUUAUGCCUUAUUAGCAAUUCUCGCAUGAGUAUCAAGUUACUAUUUUUUGCCAUAGAAUCCAAGGUUUAUUCUGUGAAAGUAUGAAAAAAUACUAAAUAUUGAACAAAAUUUCAGUUUGUUAAAUGAUAACAAAAUUAUAAUAAUUGUGAUCAUAAUUUUCCUUUUUACAGAAAUGCUCUCAAAAUUAACGUUAAAACGCACACCGUGUGGUUUACUUAACAAAAUUAGCCUUUACUGGUUCUUGCCAACCAAACAAUAAGCUUUUAAGCUGUACCUUCAACAUUCAUAAAAUCAUAACCUGAAGUCCCUUGAAUAUACCAUAAAUAAAAAAAAA